CCUACGGGAGGCAGCAGUGGGGAAUAUUGGACAAUGGGGGGAACCCUGAUCCAGCGACGCCGCGUGCGUGAAGAAGUAUUUCGGUAUGUAAAGCUCUAUCAGCAGGGAAGUAAGAAAUGACGGUACCUGACUAAGAAGCCCCGGCUAACUACGUGCCAGCAGCCGCGGUAAUACGUAGGGGGCAAGCGUUAUCCGGAUGUACUGGGUGGAAAGGGAGCGUAGACGGCGAUGCAAGUCUGAAGUGAAAGGCGGGGGCCCAACCCCCGGACUGCUUUGGAAACUGGAUGGCUGGAGUGCAGGGGAGGUAAGUGGAAUUCGUAGUGUAGCGGUGAAAUGCGUAGAUAUUAGGAGGAACACCAGUGGCGAAGGCGGCUUACUGGACUGUAACUGACGUUGAGGCUCGAAAGCGUGGGGAGCAAACAGGAUUAGAUACCCCUGUAGUC
rnacentral:rRNA from 1 species